UCAAUCUCGACUUUUCUCCCCUUCUCUCUCGCCUCUUUCUUCCCUUACUCUCUCGGCUCUCUCUUCUCUUAAUCUUCUUGUCUCGCCUCCCUCUCUUUCUUUUCAGUCUUAUUGUUUUUUUUUUCUGCUGCUGCGUUAUACUGCUGCACCUACUGCUGCGUUAUACUGCUGCACCUACUACUGCGUUAUACUGCUGCACCUGCUGCUGCGUUAGUACUGCUGCAACUGCUGCUGUGUUAUUACUGCUGCACCUGCUGCCUUACCCCACUGCUGCUGCAACAUAAUUCUGCCGGUAUAAAACUGCUCUGCUGCAACUGCUGCCUCUACCUCACUGCUGCUGCUACGUACUACGGCCGUUACAAUACUGCUGCCGCUGCACACUGCUGCCUUUACAUCACUGCUGCUACUCUCUCUACAAUUGGUUGGGUAUAUCUUCUUCAACAAAAGUGGACUAAAACCUCUUUAUUUUGGAGAAUCUGGAUUUCUUCUUCUCUCCUCAGAUCUGAAUAGCAGUAUGCUCAUGUUGUUCCAGAAAUGUGACUUCAAUCAAGGUCCAUAAAAACUGCUGUGGUCUCGCUCCCUACACUCUGAUAGUUUUCCACAAGGAAGGAAAGGAAAAAUUACUUUUGGGGAAGAGGGCUUUUUGGACCAUUUACUAUUGGAAAACUAGAAGCUGCUACAGUGCUGAAAAGUACCUCUGCGGCUACAGAAGAGAGGAUGCAAGGACAUGGUCGAAGUCUUGUGUCAGAAGACCAUUAGAUAAUGACAAAUAGAUCCAGUUAUAGGGGUAGUUACGUUACUCUAUAUUUUGGAUUUUGGUGGAGAUUCAAAUUUCAUUUUUAAACCUAAUUUUGAGUUUUGACGUGGCUCAUGUUAUUCCAGAUACAUUACUUUAAUCAAGGUCUUUCGCAUUUGUAGCUUA